UACGAAGGGGACUAGCGUUGUUCGGAAUCACUGGGCGUAAAGCGCACGUAUGGCGGAUAUGUCAUGUCAGGGGUGAAAGUCCCGGGGCUCAACCUCGGAACUGCCUUUGAUACAGCAUAUCUUGAGUCCGAUAGAGGUGGGUGGAAUUCCUAGUGUAGAGGUGAAAAUUCGUAGAUAUUAGGAAGAACACCGGUGGCGAAG
rnacentral:rRNA from 1 species